rnacentral:rRNA from 1 species
UACCGGCUCAGGCCAGCGCCUCCAAAGCGCGCUCCGGCCCGUCUCACCCCCUCGCGAACCUACCUGAAAACGUUGUUUCGGCGGGCGGCCCUAGGGCGGGGCCACUCGCGGCCCGGGCGCAUUCCCGGGUGCCCGCUGCGAGCCUACCAUAAAACAUCUUCUAUCAGAGAGUCCUAUCUGAGCCUUCCGACCUGGCGUGCCGCCGGCGAGGAUUUCUUCCAAUCAAAACUUUCAACAACGGAUCUCUUGGUUCUGGCAUCGAUGAAGAACGCAGCGAAAUGCGAUAAGUAAUGUGAAUUGCAGAAUUCAGCGAAUCAUCGAAUCUUUGAACGCACAUUGCGCCCGCCAGCAUUCUGGCGGGCAUGCCUGUCCGAGCGUCAUUGACACCCCUCAGGCGCGCGGGCCGCUACAGGCCCGCCGCGCCCGGCGUUAGGGCUAGCGGCGGAGCGCAUCCUGCGCCGCCGCGGCCCCCAAAUGCAGUGGCGGGACCCCGCCCGGGACCCCGAGCGCAGUAGCACUAUGCUCGCUCCGGGGCGCCCACGGGGCCCACCGCCGGCCGCGCACGGCCGCAACCUCCACACACAAGACGUUGACCUCGGAUCAGGUAGGAAGACCCGCUAAACUUAAGCAUA